rnacentral:rRNA from 1 species
GACGUAGGGCGCGAGCGUUGUCCGGAUUUAUUGGGCGUAAAGAGCUCGUAGGCGGCUUGUCGCGUCGUCUGUGAAAACCCGCGGCUCAACGGCGGGCUUGCAGUCGAUACGGGCAGGCUGGAGUUCGGUAGGGGAGACUGGAAUUCCUGGUGUAGCGGUGAAAUGCGCAGAUAUCAGGAAGAACACCCGUGGCUAAGGCGGUUCUCUAGUACGGUACUGACGCUGAGACGCGAAAGCGUGGGGAGCGAACAGG